rnacentral:tRNA from 1 species
GCCGAUAUAGCUCAGUUGGUAGAGCACCUGAUUUGUAAUCAGGGGGUCCCGGGUUCAAAUCCUGGUGUCGGCACCA